UGUGCCAGCAGCGCGGUAAUACGAAGGGGGCUAGCGUUGCUCGGAAUCACUGGGCGUAAAGGGUGCGUAGGCGGGUUUCUAAGUCAGAGGUGAAAGCCUGGAGCUCAACUCCAGAACUGCCUUUGAUACUGGAAGUCUUGAGUAUGGCAGAGGUGAGUGGAACUGCGAGUGUAGAGGUGAAAUUCGUAGAUAUUCGCAAGAACACCAGUGGCGAAGGCGGCUCACUGGGCCAUUACUGACGCUGAGGCACGAAAGCGUGGGGAGCAAACAGGAUUAGAUACCCCGGUAGUCC
rnacentral:rRNA from 1 species